AUUGAACGCUAGCGGGAGGCCUUACACAUGCAAGUCGAACGAGUGGCGGACGGGUGAGUAAUAUCUCGGAAACUGCCUGAUGGCGGGGGAUAACUACUGGAAAGAGUAGCUAAUACCGCAUACCAUCAGAUCUGCCCAGCUCGGAUUAGCUAGUUGGUGGGGUAAAGGCUCACCAAGGCAACGAUCCUUAGCUGGUCUGAGAGGAUGACCAGCCAAACUGGAACUGAGAAACGGUCCAGACUCCUACGGGAGGCAGCAGUGGGGAAUUUUGCACAAUGGGCGCAAGCCUGAUGCAGCCAUGCCGCGUGUAUGAAGAAGGCCUGCGGGUUGUAAAGUACUUUUAGCAGGGAAGCGUUACCCGCAGAAUAAGCACCGGCUAACUCCGUGCCAGCAGCCGCGGUAAUAC
rnacentral:rRNA from 1 species